rnacentral:rRNA from 1 species
GACGAACGCUGGCGGCGUGCUUAACACAUGCAAGUCGAACGGAAAGGCCCUGCUUGCAGGGUGCUCGAGUGGCGAACGGGUGAGUAACACGUGGGUGAUCUGCCCCUUACUUUGGGAUAAGCCUGGGAAACUGGGUCUAAUACUGGAUAGGACCAUGCUGUAGGUGGUGUGGUGGAAAGAUUAGUUUCGGUAAGGGAUGAGCUCGCGGCCUAUCAGCUUGUUGGUGGGGUAAUGGCCUACCAAGGCGUCGACGGGUAGCCGGCCUGAGAGGGUGGACGGCCACAUUGGGACUGAGAUACGGCCCAGACUCCUACGGGAGGCAGCAGUGGGGAAUAUUGCACAAUGGGCGCAAGCCUGAUGCAGCGACGCCGCGUGGGGGAUGACGGCCUUCAGGUUGUAAACUCCUUUCAGCCAUGACGAAGCCCUUGUGGUGACGGUAGUGGUAGAAGAAGCACCGGCUAACUACGUG